GUAGGUGAACCUGCGGAAGGAUCAUUAGAGAGCAAGCCGGCCGGCAGUCAUGCCAGGCCGGCAGACCCUCCAACCAAUGCAAACCGGGAGAGUGGCUGCAUCCUCCAGCAGAGCGCGGGCAUGUGGCCGCCUCGUCUCCCGCACUACCGUGCGGGAUCCGAGAGCCUCCGCUGGAGGGCCCCCGCAAAAUCCUAUCUGGUACGUCCGGGAAUCACAGAGACAUAAAGCAAGCAAAACUUUCAACAACGGAUCUCUUGGCUACC
rnacentral:misc_RNA from 1 species